AUCACCUGGGGAUCUUGUUAAAAUGUAGGCUCUGAUUCAGCAUGGCUGCAUUAGGGGCUAAGAUUCUGCAUUUCUAACAAAUUCUCAGGUAAUAUCAA
rnacentral:pre_miRNA from 1 species